UUGAUCCUGCCAUUUGUCACAUGCUUGUCUCAAAAAUUCAUCCAUGCAUGUCUAAGUACAAAUUCUAAAACAAAUGAAACCGCAAAUGGCUCAUUAAAUCAUUUAUGAUUUAUUAAAUCGUGCGUUCCACAUGGAUAACUGUGGUAAUUCUAAAGCUAAUACAUGCAAAUGGCCCUGACUUACGGAGGGGCGCUUUUAUUAAAUCAAAAUCAAUCGGGGCAACCCGUUUUUGUGAUGACUCUGGAUAACUUUGUGCCGACCGCAUGGCCUUGUGCCGGCGGCGUAUCUUUCAAAUGUCUGCCCUAUCAACUUUCAAUGGUAGGUGACAUGCCUACCAUGGUUGUAACGGUUAACGAAAAAUCAGGGUUCGAUUCCGGAGAGGGAGCCUGAAAAACGGCUACCACAUCCAAGGAAGGCAGCA
rnacentral:rRNA from 1 species